GACGAACGCUGGCGGCGUGCUUAACACAUGCAAGUCGAACGGUGAAGCGCUUGCCUUUUUGGUGGGUGUGGAUGAGUGGCGAACGGGUGAGUAACACGUGAGUAACCUGCCCUCUUCUUCUGGAUAACCUCAUGAAAGUGGGGCUAAUACGGGGUAUUCCGGGUCUGUCGCAUGGCGGGUUUGGGAAAGAUUGCGCCUUUGGGUGUUUUCGGUGGGGGAUGGGCUCGCGGCCUAUCAGCUUGUUGGUGGGGUGAUGGCCUACCAAGGCGGUGACGGGUAGCCGGCCUGAGAGGGUGGACGGCCACAGUGGGACUGAGACACGGCCCAGACUCCGGCGGGAGGCAGCAGUGGGGAAUAUUGCACAAUGGGCGCAAGCCUGAUGCAGCGACGCCGCGUGAGGGAUGGAGGCCUGCGGGUUGUGAACCUCUUUCGCCAGUGAAGCAGGCCUGCCUCGUUUGUGGGUGGGUUGACGGUAGCUGGAUAAGAAGCGCCGGCUAACUACGUG
rnacentral:rRNA from 1 species